GAUGAACGCUGGCGGCGUGCCUAAUACAUGCAAGUCGAGCGAAUGGAUUAAGAGCUUGCUCUUAUGAAGCUAGCGGCGGACGGGUGAGUAACACGUGGGUAACCUGCCCAUAAGACUGGGAUAACUCCGGGAAACCGGGGCUAAUACCGGAUAACAUUUUGAACCGCAUGGUUCGAAAUUGAAAGGCGGCUUCGGCUGUCACUUAUGGAUGGACCCGCGUCGCAUUAGCUAGUUGGUGAGGUAACGGCUCACCAAGGCAACGAUGCGUAGCCGACCUGGGAGGGUGAUCGGCCACACUGGGACUGAGACACGGCCCAGACUCCUACGGGAGGCAGCAGUAGGGAAUCUUCCACAAUGGACGAAAGUCUGACGGAGCAACGCCGCGUGAGUGAUGAAGGCUUUCGGGUCGUAAAACUCUGUUGUUAGGGAAGAACAAGUGCUAGUUGAAUAAGCUGGCACCUUGACGGUACCUAACCAGAAAGCCACGGCUAACUACGUGCCAGCAGCCGCAGUAA
rnacentral:rRNA from 1 species